UACGUAGGGUGCGAGCGUUAAUCGGAAUUACUGGGCGUAAAGCGUGCGCAGGCGGUUUUGUAAGCCAGAUGUGAAAGCCCCGGGCUUAACCUGGGAAUGGCAUUUGGGACUGCAAGGCUUGAGUGCGGCAGAGGAGACUGGAAUUCCUGGUGUAGCAGUGAAAUGCGUAGAUAUCAGGAGGAAUACCGAUGGCGAAGGCAGCUCGCUGGGACGUUACUGACGCUGAGACGCGAAAGCGUGGGGAGCAAACAGG
rnacentral:rRNA from 1 species